rnacentral:rRNA from 1 species
CCCUUAGAUGUUCUGGGCCGCACACGCGCUACACUGAAGGAGGCAGCGUGUACUCCUGGAUCGAAAGAUUUGGGUAACCCGCGAAUCUCCUUCGUGCUAGGGAUUGAGGUUUGCAAUUAUCCUUCAUGAACGAGGAAUUCCCAGUAAGUGCAAGUCAUAAGCUUGCGCUGACUACGUCCCUGCCCUUUGUACACACCGCCCGUCGCUCCUACCGAUUGAAUGGUCCGGUGAAGCGUUCGGACCGUGGCCUUUGGACGGUUCGCCGUCUGUUGGCUGCGGGAAGUUCGUUAAACCUUAUCAUUUAGAGGAAGGAGAAGUCGUAACA